GACGUAGGGGGCGAGCGUUGUCCGGAUUUAUUGGGCGUAAAGGGCGCGCAGGCGGCUUGGCAAGUCGAGUGUGAAAUCCCUUGGCUUAACUGAGGAAUGGCGCUCGAAACUACCUCGCUAGAGGGCGGGAGAGGGAAGUGGAACUCGUCGGUGUAGGGGUGAAAUCUGUAGAUAUCGAGAGGAACACCGGGUGGCGAAGGCGGCGACCUGGGUAGAUACCUGACGCUGAGGUGCGAAAGCGUGGGGAGCAAACAGGG
rnacentral:rRNA from 1 species